rnacentral:rRNA from 1 species
AUGCCCAUCCUGCUAUGCCGGCGGAUUCCAAUGGCAGGUCUGGUUGCGCACAAGAUGAGGGUCCGCGGCCCCGUUAGGCUGGCAGGCGAACUACGACGAGGAAACAAUGCUUCUCCAAAUAGGUUGUGGCUGGGGAGUGCUCCAUUGGACAUAACUCCGUGCACAUCGAAGAUGAGUUUGUUGGAGCAAUCUAUUUGCAAAUAUGCGGAGAAGCCUAUGAAGAGUUUAAUAAAAUCGGAGUUAGGAUUGACUUUCAACUCACUCGGGGAGGCCUACGACUUCUACAGGUCGUACUUGUGGGAGGUUUGGCUUUGGGAUCAGGUAUGGUAA